ACUUAUGUAGUUUAUUAAAACACUAUAUUUUCAUUAUAGAAAUAAAAUCUAUUUUCUUAAGUU
rnacentral:tRNA from 1 species